CAUAAACAAAAUGACAGGAAAUCACCUGGAUGCGCUUAGAUUGAAAUGUCAUUCUGUGGAGCUUGGAUAUCUGCUGCUCUGCCUCUGGAGACUGAAGUGGAAUGCUGAAAGGAAGCAUAAACAAAAUGACAGGAAAUCACCUGGAUGCGCUCAGAUUGAAAUGUCAUUCUGUGGAGCUUGGACAUCUGCUGCUCUGCCUCUGGAGACCCAAGUGGAAUACCAUGUGGCCAACACUGGAACUGGCUUUGCAGUUGAUGGUGACUCUGUCUCCUGGAGACACGGCCAGGGAUUCUGGAGUCUGAGUCAGCACGAUCUGCCCGCUGGAGUCUGUAUGGAAGAAAAAAAACAUUUAAAGGAAAAAGAAAUAUAAAAUGACGCA